CUUACUUCUGACCUCCAAUCCCUGGGAGAGGGGCUGGAGAUUGAGUUCAAUCACUAAUGGCUGAAGACUGAAUCAAUCACGUCUGUGUAAUGAAGCCACCACUAAACUGCAAAGGGAUAGGGUUUGGAGAACUUUCAGGACCCGGCUAUUAGAAAAGAGGUUCAAUGUGAAUAUACUGACAAUAACAACAAAAAAAGAGAUUAGAGAAUUAAGAAAGAAAAUUCUAGAGGGCUUAAAGAUCACAUCUGGAAGGAUCUGAAAGGCCUCUUGAAGGAAAUAGAAAAAAAAAUUCUGGCUAAUUCCUCUAAUACUUCUGGACCCUCAUUGGCUAGGAAAUCAUGCUGUGUUCCCAUAUCUAUUUUCUGGUUCCGUGGAAGCUUCUUGAGUACAUGUCUAAUUUGGUUGGGUUCCCCCACUCUCGUACAGCUUCUCAUACAGGUAAAUUGAUACAGAAGUA